rnacentral:lncRNA from 1 species
GGAAUACAUUCGAUGUUUGAUUUUCAUUUAAGGCGGAAGAUGACAACACAAUUUUAAACUGAAUUUGACCAUUUGCUUGUAUGUAAAGUUUUAACUUUUUAACUUAGCGAGGAGUGCUUAAAAUUUACCAAAUAUCAGUUGUUGUCGGUCCUUUAAUUUAAUUUAAGGAAUAAUUUCAUAAAUCUCCCCUGAAGUUUUUUGUCAGCAUUACAAGCCUCCCCUGAAGUUCUAGAAAUAUCACAUGCUUUAGACCUUUUCUUUCUGUAGCCUUGGGGUUGCUUUUGAUGUAAACGUUCCGAGCAUAAAAUGUUUACUCAUAAUGCUUGUGUUUAGGGUUAAUUACAUUUACCUCCCCUAAGGUCUAGCCAAACUACCAGUCAAACCUUGAGGUUAAAUCAAAUAACAGUCUAAUCCCUUGACUAAGCAAACGUUUAUCAAAAACUUCCUUGCUGUCCUAAGACGUUAUUCAAGGUAUGAUGUCAGCAACAAAACUAUUAUGAGAGGCCAAAAAUGCCCUUAUAAUAACAAAACUAUUACGCAUGUGUCAUCACUAAUUUCUUUGACUUUUUCCU